rnacentral:rRNA from 1 species
CACGUAGGGUGCGAGCGUUGUCCGGAAUUAUUGGGCGUAAAGAGCUCGUAGGCGGUCCGUUAAGUCAUGUGUGAAAUCCCCCGGCUCAACCGGGGAAUUGCGCCUGAUACUGGCGGGCUAGAGGUCGAUAGGGGUGAGCGGAACUCCAGGUGGAGCGGUGAAAUGCGCAGAUAUCAGGAGGAACACCAGCGGCGAAGGCGGCGCUCUGGCCCGGUACUGACGCUGAGGUGCGAAAGCGUGGGGAGCAAACAGG